rnacentral:snRNA from 1 species
GGGUGGCAAGGUCACUGAGAAAUCAGGUGUUUCCUUCCUCUCUCACAACUCCAUGUGGCUCCCUCCUGAAGCUGCGUCUCACUUGAAUAGAGGAAGGCUGGUCUUCAGUCUAGGGUAUACGAGUACCUGGAUUCCCUUGUUAGGACCUCCAAACAAACUCUCAAAUUCCAAGCAGGAUCACUCACAGUCCCUCAAAAUUUUCUAGCUUCCCUACUUUUUCCUUCGAUGGAUAAAGGAUUGG